GAUAAAGUAAGCUAAGUAAGCUAUUGGGUUCAUACCUCGAAAAUAGAUUUUGUAUUGUCUCUUUAUUA